rnacentral:lncRNA from 1 species
CGGCACGACUCUGUCGUUCUAAUCUUUCUGUUCUUUUUCCUUUCUUCCAAACCGACACGUUCACGCCUCGAUUGCUCGAAAUAUUUCAUCUCAACUCAUAGAACUCCUUUAAGAAAACUUGUAGAGUAAUCCGAGCACUUUAAUUGAUAGAUGGGCCUCUACUCGAGAUGAGCACUCUAGGGUCGAAAUUUUUUGAGCUCUAAUGUUUCUGUCAACUUGCACUGUUACUGAACAUUUACAAUUCAGUUUCGACAGCUUUCAAAAUGUGGUGAUUUACCCCUCUUUGGCACCAAUUUUAGUAGUCCAAUUGUAUUCCAUAUAGGCCAACAACUCCCUA